rnacentral:lncRNA from 1 species
ACCAGCUCAAUUAUCCGUGAAAUAUUCUCCCACACGCGUCCUCUGAUGACGCAUUAUGGCGAGGAUGACUCUCCCGUUGUUCUUUUCAGCAGAGCGUGAAGACCCGGAGAUGCUGCGAGGGGGAACACUAUAAAGGUGCCUCUCUCUCUUAUUUUUCGCUUGUUUUUCCUUUAAUUAUCCUGCUAAUUGGGAAUUGCUUGUUGUUGUUGUUGUUUUUUUCUCUUUUCUUCAGAUUUGGUGGAGAGGCUGUAGUCGGGGUUGUCAUGACAACGGCAGGGACACCUUUGAUUGGUGGGAAGUUUGAUUUUCAGGGUAAAGACCGGUCGUAUUGUUUGAUUUAUAGGAGUUCAGGUUCUGAGCGAUGAAAACAUACGUCGAGUUUCUGUGUGAAAGUGUGAACGGCGUCCGCAGAUAUUUGAAGAGAUCCAGCUUUUUUAAAAUUCAG